UACGAAGGGGGCUAGCGUUGUUCGGAAUUACUGGGCGUAAAGCGCACGUAGGCGGAUAUUUAAGUCAGGGGUGAAAUCCCGGGGCUCAACCCCGGAACUGCCUUUGAUACUGAGAGGCUCGAGUCCGGGAGAGGUGAGUGGAACUGCGAGUGUAGAGGUGAAAUUCGUAGAUAUUCGCAAGAACACCAGUGGCGAAGGCGGCUCACUGGCCCGGUACUGACGCUGAGGUGCGAAAGCGUGGGGAGCAAACAGG
rnacentral:rRNA from 1 species